UACAGAGGGUGCGAGCGUUAAUCGGAAUUACUGGGCGUAAAGCGCGCGUAGGCGGUUAUGUAAGUCAGAUGUGAAAGCCCCGGGCUCAACUUGGGAACUGCGUCUGAUACUGGAUGGCUUGAAUUCGGGAGAGGGAUGCAGAAUUCCAAGUGUAGCGGUGAAAUGCGUAGAUAUCUGGAGGAACACCGGUGGCGAAGGCGGCAUCCUGGACCGGUAUUGACGCUGAGGCGCGAAAGCUAGGGGAGCAAACGGG
rnacentral:rRNA from 1 species